rnacentral:lncRNA from 1 species
ACCGAAAUGGCUUCGCACAAGCUUUUCUCCUUAGGUAGUACCUAACCAACUCCUCAUCCGUUGGAUGGAACCUGAAACCGGGCGCUAACGACGUCGGCGGCGGAGCCACUGCCCUCUUCGGCGUCGCCGUCGUAACAGGUACUGCCGCUGGGACUAUAACAAGUGCUCCUUCUUGCUCCAUUUUUUGGCCGGAAAAUCAAGAACCAAAAAAAAACACAAGAAAAUGAUAAUUAACGCCCUCUUCGGCAUCGCCGUCGUAACAGGUACUGCCGCUGGUACUAUAACAAGUGCUCCUUCUUGCUCCAAUUUUUUGGCCGGAAAAUCUAGAACCAAAAAAGUAACACAAGAAAAUGAUAAUUAAGGUUUCUAUUUAAGAAACCCACCACAGAAAUAACAGAUACAUAAGAAGGGGGCAAAAGGGUGUUAGAUUUUGAGAAGAUUAGAAGUGAAGCAAAGCUUAAAAGAGAGAGAGGUGGGGGUUGGGGG